UACGUAGGGCGCAAGCGUUGUCCGGAAUUAUUGGGCGUAAAGAGCUCGUAGGCGGCUUGUCACGUCGGGUGUGAAAGCCCGGGGCUUAACCCCGGGUCUGCAUUCGAUACGGGCUAGCUAGAGUGUGGUAGGGGAGAUCGGAAUUCCUGGUGUAGCGGUGAAAUGCGUAGAUAUCGGGAGGAACACCGGUGGCGAAGGCGGGUCUCUGGGCCGUAACUGACGCUGAGGAGCGAAAGCAUGGGGAGCGAACAGG
rnacentral:rRNA from 1 species